rnacentral:rRNA from 1 species
AGAGUUUGAUCCUGGCUCAGGACGAACGCUGGCGGCGUGCCUAAUACAUGCAAGUCGAGCGGGGAUUAUGCUUGAUCGCUUCGGUGAGACGGCAUAUAUCCUAGCGGCGGACGGGUGAGUAACGCGUGGGUAAUCUACCUCGUAGUUCGGGAUAACAGGCCGAAAGGCUUGCUAAUACCGGAUGAGUUCAUGCUUAUGCAUAUAGGCAUGAAGAAAGGGCUAGCCCGCUAUGAGAUGAGCCCGCGUCCCAUUAGCUUGUUGGUGGGGUAAUGGCCUACCAAGGCAACGAUGGGUAGCCGGCCUGAGAGGGUGUACGGCCACACUGGGACUGAGACACGGCCCAGACUCCUACGGGAGGCAGCAGUGGGGAAUUUUGCGCAAUGGGGGGAACCCUGACGCAGCGACGCCGCGUGGGUGAUGAAGGCCUUCGGGUUGUAAAGCCCUGUUGGGGGGGAAGAUAAUGACGGUACCCCCUGAGGAAGCCCCGGCUAACUACGUGCCAGCAGCCGCGGUAAU